rnacentral:tRNA from 1 species
GGCGACGUAGCCAAGUGGCAAGGCAGAGGUCUGCAAAACCUUCACCAUGGGUUCAAAUCCCAUCGUCGCCU